UACAGAGGUCCCAAGCGUUAAUCGGAAUUACUGGGCGUAAAGCGUGCGCAGGCGGUAAUGUAAGACAGGUGUGAAAUCCCCGGGCUUAACCUGGGAACUGCAUUUGUGACUGCAUUGCUGGAGUGCGGCAGAGGGGGAUGGAAUUCCGCGUGUAGCAGUGAAAUGCGUAGAUAUGCGGAGGAACACCGAUGGCGAAGGCAAUCCCCUGGGCCUGCACUGACGCUCAUGCACGAAAGCGUGGGGAGCAAACAGG
rnacentral:rRNA from 1 species